UACGGGGGGGGCAAGCGUUGUUCGGAAUUACUGGGCGUAAAGGGCGCGUAGGCGGCCUGCUAAGUCACACGUGAAAUCCCUCGGCUCAACCGGGGAACUGCGUGUGAUACUGGCGGGCUUGAAUUCGGGAGAGGGAUGUGGAAUUCCAGGUGUAGCGGUGAAAUUCGUAGAUAUUCGGAAGAACACCAGUGGCGAAGGCGGCUCACUGGCCCGGUACUGACGCUGAGGUGCGAAAGCGUGGGGAGCAAACAGG
rnacentral:rRNA from 1 species